UACAGAGGGGUGCGAGCGUUGUCCGGAAUCACUGGGCGUAAAGGGCGCGUAGGCGGCUUCUUAAGCGUGUGGUGAAAGCGCGGGGCUCAACCCCGCGUCGGCCGUGCGAACUGGGGAGCUGGAGCACGUCAGAGGCAGGCGGAAUUCCGGGUGUAGCGGUGGAAUGCGUAGAGAUCCGGAAGAACACCGGUGGCGAAGGCGGCCGCUGGACGUGGCUGACGCUGAGC
rnacentral:rRNA from 1 species